GACGUAGGGCGCGAGCGUUGUCCGGAUUUAUUGGGCGUAAAGAGCUCGUAGGCGGCUUGUCGCGUCGUUCGUGAAAACCCGCAGCUCAACUGCGGGCUUGCGGUCGAUACGGGCAGGCUAGGAGUUCGGUAGGGGAGACUGGAAUUCCUGGUGUAGCGGUGAAAUGCGCAGAUAUCAGGAGGAACACCGGUGGCGAAGGCGGGUCUCUGGGCCGAUACUGACGCUGAGGAGCGAAAGCGUGGGGAGCGAACAGG
rnacentral:rRNA from 1 species